rnacentral:lncRNA from 1 species
AUAUAAUUUGGCAAAGUAAUUAGAUUCCUUACUUAAUUGCAAAUUACUAUGACAUAUCUUUGUUUCUCUCAUACUCAUGUAACUCUCAGCAUAUAUUGCUCUCACAUCCAAGCAGCUGCACAUUCAUACAAAAGUUCAUUCAAUACUUUCUACAGCUUAUUUCUAUUUAUUCUGCAUAUGCUUCGUCAAGAUCAACAAAUGCCCAGAUUUCCUUUUCUUCUUUGCAAAUACUUUUUCACAAUCAUGUAUUUUAAAUAUCUAUCACACAUUUACUUGUAUUUAUGAAACCACUAUACAUUCUAUGAAUAACUUUCUUUAUUUUCUUAAAAUAUCAAAUAUCUUCCCAGCAUACUCAUGAGACUUAUAUCUCCUAUAAUUCUUGUACUUGCCUUUCUUGAUCUUCAUCCUACAGAUGAGCAGAAUCACAGCCUUAAUCCAAUCACUUGGAAAUCACACUAUUCUUUCAAUACAAUUUGUAGAGUGUAUGUAACAUCUCUGCGUCAUGCUUCAACAUCUCAGUCAUGAUCCCAUUUGUAUCAAACUUUUAUCAUAUUAUUUAUCAAUAUAUUUAUAAACAUAUUAUUCAUCCUGUUAUCAUUCCCUAUAUUGAGAUAAUAAGAGAUGCGAUCAGGAUGAAUGCAGACUUCUGUUUAAUUGGCUUAAAAAGUUCAUAGAAAUAUUCUUAACAUCAGUAAUUAUCUCAAGUUCAUUCAACAGCAUUUUGCCAUUCUUAAAUUUCACAUCACAUGCUCUCAUCUUGUUCUCUUCUCAAAUUCUCUAUACCAGUGCAGUCUAAAUUCUUAUGCACUUUGAAAAUAUCUAUUUGUUCCCCUCAGAAUCAUUUUGAAGCUUCUC